GAGAAGGCAGUGUUUGCUUAUAUCAUUAUCUAAGGACAGUGUGAUUGGAAUAAGCUCAUGCAAACAUCAUCUUUACAGAUAAAAUGAUAUCGUAAGUAUUCCUCAGCAACAUCUCUAGGGUACCC